rnacentral:rRNA from 1 species
ACUCCGAAAUGGCAUUGGAAACUGCCUGGCUCGAGGGUUGGAGGGGGGACUGGAAUGCUUGGUGUAGCAGUGAAAUGCGUAGAUAUCAAGCGGAACACCAGUGGCGAAGGCGAGUCCCUGGACAACUCCUGACACUGAGGCACGAAAGCUAGGGGAGCAAACAGGAUUAGAUACCCUGGUAGUCCUAGCCGUAAACGGUGCAUGUUUGCUGUAAAAGGAAUCGACCCCUUUUGUGGCGGAGCCAACGCGUUAAACAUGCCGCCUGGGAAGUACGGUCGCAAGAUUAAAACUCAAAGAAAUUGACGGGGGCCUGCACAAGCGGUGGAGUAUGUGGCUCAAUUCGAUGCAACGCGAAGAACCUUACCUGGCCUUGACAUGUACGUAGUAGAAGGGUGAAAGCCUGACGAGUCCGCAAGGACAGCGUACACAGGUGCUG